CCUACGGGCGGCAGCAGUGGGGAAUAUUGGACAAUGGGGGCAACCCUGAUCCAGCGACGCCGCGUGUGUGAAGAAGGCCUGCGGGUUGUAAAGCACUUUUAGUGGGGAUGAAAAGCACAUUGCUAAUACCAGUGUGUCUUGACCUAACCCAAAGAAAAAGCACCGGCUAACUCUGUGCCAGCAGCCGCGGUAAUACAGAGGGUGCGAGCGUUAAUCGGAAUUACUGGGCGUAAAGCGUGCGUAGACGGUUAUUUAAGUCGGGUGUGAAAGCCCCGGGCUCAACCUGGGAAUUGCAUUCGAGACUGAAUAGCUAGGGUACGGUAGAGGGAAGUGGAAUUUCCGGUGUAGCGGUGAAAUGCGUAGAUAUCGGAAGGAACAUCAGUGGCGAAAGCGACUUCCUGGACCAGUACCGACGUUCAGGCACGAAAGCGUGGGGAGCAAACAGGAUUAGAUACCCCGGUAGUC
rnacentral:rRNA from 1 species